CUGCCAUUCAUCCCAUGUGAUUCCACUAAUAUAUGCUAUGGUGCUAGACAGGAGCAAUCCUUCUCCGAGUUCCCUCCACCUCAGGUAACACAGUGUCAUGGCUUGUAUGCUCGGGAGCAAAAGACAGAAACCAAAAACCAGCUUGAACCUUCUUCGGCAGUAAAUGAUUUAGUCAUGGAUUGGAACCCUAGACUGAUGCUAAGCAACCUGUCAUUCCUCGAGCAAAAGAUCCACCAAGUUCAGGAUAUUGUUCGAUCAAUAAUUAGCCAGGAAGGCCGAGCUAAUGAGUUGGCAGCACAGCAGCAGCUUGUCACAGCAGAUCUAACUUACAUCAU
rnacentral:lncRNA from 1 species